rnacentral:lncRNA from 12 species
GUAUUUAACCUAUUUCCUGCCAGGUGAAAUUGUUUCCUCUCUGAACUUGCAGAUUAGAUCCCAAGCACAUUCCUUGACAAGGGAUCUUGCUCAGUAAUGGAAAAUGCCUACAAGAGACCCCCUGAUGAAAAAGACUAUGCUUAGCAAUGGAAUUUACUGCCCACAUUACUUAUGGGUUCACCUGUUUACAAGGACCAGGAGGAGAAGGCAGGCACAGACCAAAAUAUUUUCAGGGAUCUGGCAGAUAUAUAAAUGCAUGAAAUGGGCUGGAAUAUGA